rnacentral:lncRNA from 1 species
AGUUGAUCGCCUGCGAUCAACGGCCGGAAGCGGCUAAAACUACUCCUGCCUGCAUACCCCGCAGGAGCAAACCGCGCCAUGUCUCCCUCCAGGGAUCCGCACCGCUCACAAUCCUGUUUAGUGCUGGGAUUGUAGUCCUGCGAGCCUACGACUAAUAGCUGGAUUAACUCUUAAGUACUCCACAACUACACGCUUUUGAAACUGGCGUUGGCAUAGCGUUAGUUCUGUGCAGGGCGGACGCAGCAGGACAGAAUCUCCCUGGGCAUCUUUUCGGAGCAUCAAUUUUACUGCAAAAUUUUGAAAAAACAAAUUUAAUUGAUUUCCAAGGUUUGUCAAGGAGGACAGAAACUCAGAGCACCCUGCACUUGGGGAUCGGCACUAGGAGCUGCUCUCUGGAUGGGGAGAUGGGAGCUAGCAGCUCACAAUGGGGUCACAAGAAUAUUGGUUCUUCUUUUAUCUGAAGUGAGGAGCACCAGAGGACUGAUCACGGCAUAGACAUUGACUACAAGACUCUGAACUUGCUG